UACGAAGGGGGCUAGCGUUGCUCGGAAUCACUGGGCGUAAAGGGUGCGUAGGCGGGUCUUUAAGUCAGGGGGUGAAAUCCUGGAGCUCAACUCCAGAACUGCCUUUGAUACUGAAGAUCUUGAGUUCGGGAGAGGUGAGUGGAACUGCGAGUGUAGAGGUGAAAUUCGUAGAGAUCCGGAAGAACACCGGUGGCGAAGGCGGCCUGCUGGGGUGGAAGACAGACUUCGGUCUGUCGGCUGACGCUGAGGCGCGCAGCGUGGGGAGCAAACAGG
rnacentral:rRNA from 1 species